GACGAACGCUGGCGGCGUGCCUAAUACAUGCAAGUCGAACGAGAGCGACCGGUGCUUGCACUGGUCAAUCUAGUGGCGAACGGGUGAGUAACACGUGGGUAACCUGCUCAUCAGAGGGGGAUAACAUCCGGAAACGGAUGCUAAAACCGCAUAGGUCUUCGAGCCGCAUGGCUUGAAGAGGAAAAGAGGCGCAAGCUUCUGCUGAUGGAUGGACCCGCGGUGCAUUAGCUAGUUGGUGAGGUAACGGCUCACCAAGGCCGUGAUGCAUAGCCGACCUGAGAGGGUGAUCGGCCACAUUGGGACUGAGACACGGCCCAAACUCCUACGGGAGGCAGCAGUAGGGAAUCUUCCGCAAUGGACGCAAGUCUGACGGAGCAACGCCGCGUGAGUGAAGAAGGUUUUCGGAUCGUAAAACUCUGUUGCUAGAGAAGAACAAGUGCUAGAGUAACUGUUAGCGCCUUGACGGUAUCUAACCAGAAAGCCACGGCUAACUACGUG
rnacentral:rRNA from 1 species